UACGUAGGUGGCAAGCGUUAUCCGGAAUUAUUGGGCGUAAAGAGCGCGCAGGUGGUUGAUUAAGUCUGAUGUGAAAGCCCACGGCUUAACCGUGGAGGGUCAUUGGAAACUGGUCAACUUGAGUGCAGAAGAGGGAAGUGGAAUUCCAUGUGUAGCGGUGAAAUGCGUAGAUAUCGUCAGGAACGCCAAUGGUGAAGACAGGUGACUGGGCUAGAUCUGACACUGAGGCACGAAAGCGUGGGGAGCGAACGGG
rnacentral:rRNA from 1 species